CAGCCGCCGCGGGAAUACGUAGGUGGCAAGCGUUGUCCGGAAUUAUUGGGCGUAAAGGGCUCGCAGGCGGUUUCUUAAGUCUGAUGUGAAAGCCCCCGGCUCAAUCGGGGAGGGUCAUUGGAAACUGGGAAACUUGAGUGCAGAAGAGGAGAGUGGAAUUCCACGUGUAGCGGUGAAAUGCGUAGAGAUGUGGAGGAACACCAGUGGCGAAGGCGACUCUCUGGUCUGUAACUGACGCUGAGGAGCGAAAGCGUGGGGAGCGAACAGGAUUAGAUACCCCCGUAGUCCCUGUCUCUUAUAC
rnacentral:rRNA from 1 species